UACGGAGGGUGCAAGCGUUAUCCGGAUUCACUGGGUUUAAAGGGUGCGUAGGUGGGUCUGUAAGUCCGUGGUGAAAUCUCCAAGCUUAACUUGGAAACUGCCGUGGAUACUAUAGAUCUUGAAUAUUGUGGAGGUAAGCGGAAUAUGUCAUGUAGCGGUGAAAUGCUUAGAUAUGACACAGAACACCAAUUGCGAAGGCAGCUCACUACUCAAUCAUUGACUCUGAGGCACGAAAGCGUGGGGAUCAAACAGG
rnacentral:rRNA from 1 species